rnacentral:rRNA from 1 species
AAAUUGAAGAGUUUGAUCAUGGCUCAGAUUGAACGCUGGCGGCAGGCCUAACACAUGCAAGUCGAACGGUAACAGGAAGCAGCUUGCUGCUUCGCUGACGAGUGGCGGACGGGUGAGUAAUGUCUGGGAAACUGCCUGAUGGAGGGGGAUAACUACUGGAAACGGUAGCUAAUACCGCAUAACGUCGCAAGACCAAAGAGGGGGACCUUCGGCCUCUUGCCAUCGGAUGUGCCCAGAUGGGAUUAGCUAGUAGGUGGGGUAACGGCUCACCUAGGCGACGAUCCCUAGCUGGUCUGAGAGGAUGACCAGCCACACUGGAACUGAGACACGGUCCAGACUCCUACGGGAGGCAGCAGUGGGGAAUAUUGCACAAUGGGCGCAAGCCUGAUGCAGCCAUGCCGCGUGUAUGAAGAAGGCCUUCGGGUUGUAAAGUACUUUCAGCGGGGAGGAAGGGAGUAAAGUUAAUACCUUUACUCAUUGACGUUACCCGCAGAAGAAGCACCGGCUAACUCCGUGCCAGCAGCCGCGGUAAUACGGAGGGUGCAAGCGUUAAUCGGAAUUACUGGGCGUAAAGCGCACGCAGGCGGUUUGUUAAGUCAGAUGUGAAAUCCCCGGGCUCAACCUGGGAACUGCAUCUGAUACUGGCAAGCUUGAGUCUCGUAGA